rnacentral:rRNA from 1 species
GACGAACGCUGGCGGCGUGGAUUAGGCAUGCAAGUCGAACGAGAAAGUUCUCUUCGGAGGAUGAGUACAGUGGCGAACGGGUGAGUAACGCGUAGAUAUCUACCUUUUAGUUGGGGACAACACAGGGAAACCUGUGCUAAUACCGAAUGUGAAGGCAACUUCAAAGAAGGCUUCGGCUUUCGCUAAGAGAUGAGUCUGCGUCCAAUUAGUUAGUUGGUGGGGUAAUGGCUCACCAAGACAAUGAUUGGUAGGCGGCCUUAACGGGUGGUCGCCCACACUGGGAUUGAGAUACGGCCCAGACUCCUACGGGAGGCAGCAGUCGAGAAUAGUCUACAAUGGGGGAAACCCUGAUAGUGCGACGCCGCGUGAACGAAGAAGCAUUUCGGUGUGUAAAGUUCUUUUCUGUAUGAGCAAUGCUCUGUUUAUUAAUACCAAGCAGAGAGAGAUAUUAGUACAGGAAUAAGCCACGGCUAACUCCG